rnacentral:rRNA from 1 species
AGAGUUUGAUCCUGGCUCAGGAUGAACGCUGGCGGCGUGCCUAAUACAUGCAAGUCGAGCGAACCAUUUCGGUGGUGAGCGGCGAACGGGUGAGUAACACGUAGGUAAUCUGCCCAUCAGACGGGGACAACGAUUGGAAACGAUCGCUAAUACCGGAUAGGACGAAAGUUUAAAGAUGCUUCGGCAUCACUGAUGGAUGAGCCUGCGGCGCAUUAGCUAGUUGGAGAGGUAAGAGCUCCCCAAGGCGACGAUGCGUAGCCGACCUGAGAGGGUGAACGG